CCAAACCAACCGCCUCUUGGUAUCAAUUUUGUUUUUUGAAAUAGUAAUUUGGAACGCAAUUUUUUUUGACAAAAACAAUUGCACAGAUUCCACUUCUCUCAAAUCCUCUAUAAAUCGGGACUGAUCAAUAAAUGUUGAUGAUCUUGUAUUGGAGAAGAAGAGAAGAAAAUUAGGGUUUCAAUUCGGUUCGAAAUGGUUGAUCGAGACAAGCAGUGGGACUUUCACCUCAGAACCUUAUCUGCUAGUGCCAGAGAUUCAAAUUUCGCCGAUCCUGUUUCCGAUCCGUCUCUUUUGAAUUCGGUGAAGAAGCUUCAUGAAUUGUGUAAAGCUGAGAAAUCUGAAGAUUUGAUAGCUAGGGUUUAUCCGCAACUUAACAAGAUUUUUCAACGCUCAGUGGCUUCGAUUUCUCAAUCUCGAACCUCUAGUGGUCUUCUUUUACUGGAAAUUCUUCAAUUUUUUAUUGAUUUUGGAGAGGUGGUUCUACAUGAUGCUGAUCCUAGUAUGAGGACCUUCUUUCGAUCAUGUUUGAGCCGUGAAUUUUCAGACCCUGUUGUUGCAGAAGCAACACUGGAUUUUCUGAAUCUUAACAAGAGAAAACUUUUAACGAAUUUCCCGGCAUUACUCCCUCAGUUUUUCCCAUUAAUGCUAAAGCUCAUUGCGUGGAAUGGAGAGAAAUUAGAAAAAUCCUUUCUAAGUGUGUUUCCCGCAUUGAUGUCUCUUGGGUCAUUUCUUCCACUAUUCCCAUCUCUCGUUGACUUACCGAUAUUGGUAGUGGCAUUGGAAAAGGUGGAGCGGAGCUCAGGAUCACUGAUUGGCAACAGCAUAGCUUCACUCCAGAAGAGUACGGCUCCUGAGAUGCUGCUUGCACUCAUGGACGAAGCAUAUACUGGAUCAACCAUAGGGGAUGGAGGGGCAGACUCUGAAUCUGACGAUAGCAAUACAAUGGCUGUAGCUGAUCCUCUGUUUCUUGAGCUCCUUAAGGAUGAGAAUGAUGGCCUUGCUGAGCGCCAUUGGACUUCUUCUGGGAUGGCUGCAGCAAUGCAGUCCACAAUAAGUGCCCCCCAAUCUGAUAGGCUGAAGCAUGCACUCAAGAUGACACCUAGACUCCUUGAUGUGUAUUUUGCUAUAGCAGUGCGUGAUGUCAAUGAUUCUUUAAUAUGUGCAUUGGUUCCCCUACUUAUGGCGAGAACUUCCACUCUAUUUCCAGACAAAAUUUUCUCUUACGAGGUUCAAAAGAGGCUCUUAGAAUUCAUGCUUGCUGCAUUCCAUCGAUCUCCUGAUUUUGUUGCACUUUUGAAGAAGCCUAUAAUUGACAGACUUGGAGAAGCUUAUGACAGUCCUGCAAAGACAGAGUUGGCCUUACAAUUGUGUUGGGCCAUUGGGGAGCAUGGAGGGGGUGGUGAAUCUCACAAAGAUGCAGCUCGGGAACUUUUCGAGAGUUUGGAACUACUUCUGUAUGAAAACCUUUCAUCCAGUCGUCUUGGUCUAAGGGAGUCAGCUCUUAGCUCUGGUAGUAUGACAUUCAGAAAAUCAUCACAGUCAAGACUGCUGUGUUUUGUUGUGACAGCCAUAGCAAAGCUUGCCACACAUCACCGCGAAUUACUUCCAAGGGCUCGGGUAUCCUUAGCCAAGGUGGCACGUUCUCGAAUCUCAGAUGUGAGGGUCUGGAGGCGUGCUCGUGAUUAUUUGGGCUUAAUGAAUGAACCUGCUAUAUGUUUGUCGGUCUUGGGUCCUUCAAGACCUUCAUACGUAUGUAAGCAGAGCCCAGGCACGGUCAAUUGGAAUGAAGGCGCUUCAAAAAUGACUGCUGAUAUUCCAUUUUACAUUCUAGGUGAACAUCAAGGCAAUGUUAUGGCAUGGGCACCCAAUCUUUCUGCAUUCAAAAUUUCCUAAUGCAAUAUUUGAGAUGCCAUCUUGGUGAACAUUCCCAAUAUAUAUAUAUUCAAAGGCCCUCCUUUCCAUGAUUUUUCAUUCUCAGACAUCUUUCCGAGAAGAUAAGGAGAGAUAGGUUGGCAGGAAGAAUCGCAUCAUCAAACAUAAGGAGAGGUUGUCCUAAUCUUUGCAGGAGAUGGCUUUUUCAGGUGCUGCUGCUACGGUGAUUAGUGGCCUCUUCUUUGGUGUUCUUUCAGCCUUUGGCCUCUUCUAUGGUGUUCUUUCAACCUUUGGACAGUGAUUAUGGAAUUCUGGUGUUUGUGAGGGUUUUUUUGGGUCAGGUUUUUUUUGUUUUGGUGCUGCUGUUGGCCUUUUUGUGCUGUUUAGCCUUUUAGCAUUCUUUUUGUUUACUGCUUUUGUUAAAUCAUAUCAUGUAAUAUCUUUUAUGCAAUGAGGCUUAUUGAUAAAUUCAUUAUCCAGGACUCAUAUUGAUAAAUUUAUUAUUUUAAAUUUA